rnacentral:rRNA from 1 species
GCUCCAAUAGCGUAUACUAAAGUUGUUGCAGUUAAAAAGCUCGUAGUUGGAUUUCUGGCGGGGGCGGCUGGCGGCGUCCGACAAGGGCGUCUGCAUGGGUCGGUCCCCGUCAUCCUUGGGGAGAGCGGUUCUGGCAUUAAGUUGUCGGGGCCGGGAUCCUAUCGUUUACUGUGAAAAAAUUAGAGUGUUCAAAGCAGGCU